AUACUCUGACCAUUAAGCUCUCUGCCAUGUUCAUAUUUUACACAAUCCUGGAAAAUGUAUACAACCAAGUAAAUUAAUUUGAGCACAAAAAUUAUAAUUAUAAAAACAAAGGCAAAAAAACUAACACUAACUACUAGUUAAAUUUUUAUAAAGCCACUUUCAAUUAAUCUUUUUAACAAUACAUAUAAUCUAUAAAGAAAAUAUAAAAGUGCAUAGAUUCAUUGACCAAGAGAAAGAAAUAGAAAAGUUUUCUGAAUUGUUUAGAAGAAAAUGCAGAUUGCUGGAAUUUUAAGGUCAUAUUUUAUCUACAAAAAUUGUCGUUGAAGCUACAGAUCUAAAUGAAAUGAAACAAAUAGAAAUCUGCAUGUUCUGCUGUUUUUUUUAAAAGUAGCACAAGGUCUGAACCAGACAAAUAAAAACCAUAAUCACAUUUAAUAAAAAAUAUAAAGACAAACAUACUGGUGGGAAAAGGCUGCACUGGGCUCAAG